rnacentral:rRNA from 1 species
GAUCAUGGCUCAGGAUGAACGCUGGCGGCGUGCCUAAUACAUGCAAGUAGAACGCUGAAGCUUGGUGCUUGCACCGAGCGGAUGAGUUGCGAACGGGUGAGUAACGCGUAGGUAACCUGCCUCUUAGCGGGGGAUAACUAUUGGAAACGAUAGCUAAUACCGCAUAAAAGUCGAUAUCGCAUGAUGUUGAUUUGAAAGGUGCAAUUGCAUCACUAAGAGAUGG